rnacentral:rRNA from 1 species
AUACGUAGGGGGCGAGUGUUGUCCGGAAUGAUUGGGCGUAAAGGGCGCGUAGGCGGCCCGGUAAGUCUGGAGUGAAAGUCCUGUUUUUAAGAUGGGAAUUGCUUUGGAUACUGUCGGGCUUGAGUGCAGGAGAGGUAAGUGGAGUUCCCAGUGUAGCGGUGAAAUGCGUAGAGAUUGGGAGGAACACCAGUGGCGAAGGCGACUUACUGGACUGUAACUGACACUGAGGUACGAAAGUGUGGGGAGCAAACAGGAUUAGAUACCCUGGUAGUCCACACCGUAAACGAUGAGCACUAGGUGUCGGGCUCGCAAGAGUUCGGUGCCGCAGUUAACGCAUUAAGUGCUCCGCCUGGGGAGUACGUACGCAAGUAUGAAACUCAAAUGAAUUGACGGGG